ensembl:lncRNA
UGGUGAUAUGGCAGUAGAGGCUGAACCUCCCCAGCAAUAUUUCAUUAUAUUUUAUUGCUGUGUGAUAGAUGGCAGGAGAGGAGCACUCUGAAACGUGGUGUCUGACAUGGAAGUGUGGAUGGAGCAGAGGUGUGGAAUUGGAUUCCUCCAUGAAGAAAAAAAAUGCACUCAUCAGUGCUUGCUGAACGUUUAUGGAGAGCAAACAGUGGAUGUGAGCACAGUGAGGCAGUGGGUGGUGUGUUUCAGCAGUGGUGACAACAACACUGGGUCACCUCCACUGGUGCAGGUAGCUCUGGAGCCCCCACAGUGUGCAGCUGAUCCCUUUCCUAGGUAGCCUUGACUGACUUUGUGCAGGAGAAAAAGUCCUUGGAAGUCUGCUGUGC